CCUCCAAGGCUAAAUACUCCUGACUGACCGAUAGUGAACCAGUACCGUGAGGGAAAGGCGAAAAGAACCCCGGCGAGGGGAGUGAAAAAGAACCUGAAACCGUGUACGUACAAGCAGUGGGAGCACCUUCGGGUGUGACUGCGUACCUUUUGUAUAAUGGGUCAGCGACUUAUAUUCUGUAGCAAGGUUAACCGUAUAGGGGAGCCGUAGGGAAACCGAGUCUUAACCGGGCGUUAAGUUGCAGGGUAUAGACCCGAAACCCGGUGAUCUAGCCAUGGGCAGGUUGAAGGUUGGGUAACACUAACUGGAGGACCGAACCGACUAAUGUUGAAAAA
rnacentral:rRNA from 1 species